rnacentral:rRNA from 1 species
CGCGUAGGCGGCCUACUAAGUCAGACGUGAAAUCCCCGGCUUAACCUGGGAACUGCGUCUGAUACUGGAAGGCUUGAGUAUGGGAGAGGGAUGUAGAAUUCCAGGUGUAGCGGUGAAAUGCGUAGAUAUCUGGAGGAAUACCGGUGGCGAAGGCGGCAUCCUGGACCAUUACUGACGCUGAGGCGCGAAAGCUAGGGAGCAAACG